CUUGGCAAGGAUGCUCACAAAAGCUAAUAAGCCAAGCGUAGUCAAGCCUAGUUAGUAUAGAGAUGGGAAACCUCCAAGGAAAACCUAGCUCCUGCAGGA
rnacentral:rRNA from 1 species